rfam:Myotis brandtii contig267458, whole genome shotgun sequence.
GGUGGUUCUCGGGUGAUGCACCCCAAAAUCAGGCUUCCUCCUCUCUGGUUCCUAAUGUAUCACUCGAGAACCACA